rnacentral:lncRNA from 1 species
CUUAAAUCAUGGUCUGUCACUGAAUCUGGUUAUAAAACCUUAUCUUGCACUAGAAGGAUCUGUAGCUUUUCCAGCUGAGAAUGGGGUUCAGGAUACCGAAUCAACACAAGAAAAGAGAGAAACUGGGGAUGAAGAAAACUCAGCUAAAUUUCCUGUAGGAAGGAGAGAUUUUGACAUAUUCUCAGACCACUUCUACCAAAACAUAAAUCUGUGAUUGUGAUCUCUGAAAGUCAGUCCUUUUAUCUACUCAAGUAGAAAUAUGGGUAUAUAGAAAGGAAGAAAGCAAGGCUAACGGUGAGCAGUGGCUAAAUGAACAAGAGAACAUUCAGUUAAUUAUGACUCAAGGCUUUGAGAAUGUAAAGAGACCACCUUCACUUGUUGAGAAAUGGUACGAUUUCACGUUAUCAGUGCAGUUCCGUUCUCGGGGGAAAGCCCAUCCGUACUACCAGGAGACUGGAUCCGCAAAGUAGACACUUGGUCUCAUGAAGCCACUGCUGGGCUCCAGAGAGAAGGGAAAACUAAGAGGUUUUAAAACCCCUACCCUCCUUGGUUUACCUCCAUCAUUAAAAAACAACAAUGACAACGACAACAAAAAACAAAACUAAAACGACUUAUUAUUUAUUAAUUAUGUUGUGGCAGACAAUAUGCUGAACAUUAGACAUAAUUAAAUCUUUUUAAAAAUUGAUAAUUUAUCUCUGUUUUAUAGAAGUGUGAAACUGUCAGGAAGACAGAUGAAAUGAUUUGCCUGAGG